rnacentral:rRNA from 1 species
AUUGAACGCUGGCAGCAUGCCUUACACAUGCAAGUCGAACGGCAGCACGGGAGCAAUCCUGGUGGCGAGUGGCGAACGGGUGAGUAAUAUAUCGGAACGUGCCCAGUCGUGGGGGAUAACGUAGCGAAAGCUACGCUAAUACCGCAUACGAUCUACGGAUGAAAGCGGGGGAUCGCAAGACCUCGCGCGAGUGGAGCGGCCGAUAUCAGAUUAGGUAGUUGGUGAGGUAAAGGCUCACCAAGCCGACGAUCUGUAGCUGGUCUGAGAGGACGACCAGCCACACUGGGACUGAGACACGGCCCAGACUCCUACGGGAGGCAGCAGUGGGGAAUUUUGGACAAUGGGCGCAAGCCUGAUCCAGCAAUGCCGCGUGCAGGAUGAAGGCCUUCGGGUUGUAAACUGCUUUUGUACGGAACGAAACGGCGAACUCUAAUACAGUUUGCUAAUGACGGUACCGUAAGAAUAAGCACCGGCUAACUACGUGCCAGCCGCCGCUGUAA